CUACGGGGUGCACCAGUGAGGAAUAUUGCACAAUGGGGGGAACCCUGAUGCAGCAACGCCGCGUGGAGGAUGACGCAUUUCGGUGUGUAAACUCCUUUUAUAUGUCAAGAAAAUGACGGUAGCAUAUGAAUAAGCACCGGCUAACUCCGUGCCAGCAGCCGCGGUAAUACGGAGGGUGCAAGCGUUACUCGGAAUCACUGGGCGUAAAGGACGCGUAGGCGGGUUGGAAAGUCAGGUGUGAAAUCCUACAGCUUAACUGUAGAACUGCACUUGAAACUUCUAAUCUAGAGUAUGGGAGGGGGAGAUGGAAUUAGUGGUGUAGUGGUAAAAUCCGUAGAUAUCACUAGGAACACCUAAAGCGAAGGCGAUCUCCUGGAACAUUACUGACGCUAAUGCGUGAAAGCGUGGGGAGCAAACAGGAUUAGAUACCCGGGUAGUC
rnacentral:rRNA from 1 species